CAGAGAUCUGUAAAAAAUAUACUUUCAUUGUUAACUUAGAGGGAAAGGAGCAUUCUCUUGUGUGGCAUCGGGAUGGAUUUUCUUGGGGCAGGGCAGUGAUUAUCAAACUAAAAAGUUCUUUAUGACCUUAUAGGCGAUUUUCAUUUUUUAAAGGAGAGGUGGAAUAAUGUCUAGCGGGGUGCAAGUGACAAAAUAGGUGGGGUGAAUUUCUGGAGGGCUUAAUC